rnacentral:sRNA from 1 species
AAUGAUGUUAGUUGAGGGUGGACUGGUGUCCACAGGAGGUGAAAGGACAUCAGUUGCAUCCACCCAGUGUCAGACAGGGGAUGACCGU